AGCGAACGCUGGCGGCAGGCCUAACACAUGCAAGUCGAACGGCUCUUCGGAGCAGUGGCGGACGGGUGAGUAACGCGUGGGAACGUGCCCUUUGGUACGGAACAACUGAGGGAAACUUCAGCUAAUACCGUAUGUGCCCCUCUUCUUAGCGGAAGGGGUGGGAAGAUUAUCGCCAUUGGAGCGGCCCGCGUUGGAUAGGUAGUUGGUGGGUAAGGACCUACCAAGCCUACGAUCCAUAGCUGGCUGAGAGGAUGAUCAGCC
rnacentral:rRNA from 1 species